ACACGAACAUAUUUCAAAUAAAGUUUGUAAAAAUAUCAGAUAGUUACAUCAACUACAAGACUACACUCGUGUUCAUUAUCAUUUAAAUAUUUUUCAAUCUAUAUUGGUACAUAAUGAAGAUUUACACUUCAAUAACACUAAUAAUUAUAUUAAUAUCAUUAUUACCUUUGAGUGUAUUAACAUUGCAGUGUUAUACAUGCAGUGGAUCUUUAAACAGCGAUUGUGCAAAUAAUGAUCCCGGUACUAAAGGACUAAGUACAAUUGAUGAUUCAUUGGAAAAUCCUUCUUGUGUUGUUUACACUCUGAAAGAAAACAAUGUCACCAGCGCUAUGAUUGCUCGUACUGGUAUCUAUAAAAUUGGGCUAUCGCCAUGUGACUGGUUUAGAAAGUUGGUUGAGGUUGACAAAUGCAUUAGUUGUAUUGAAAAUUUAUGUAAUAUUAACCCUAUGGAUUGAAAAUAUGAAUUGAAAAACGGAAAAUCUUUAUUAAUUUAAUAAAAUUGGAAACAUGCUAGUACAGGA